rnacentral:rRNA from 1 species
GAUGAACGCUGGCGGCGUGCCUAAUACAUGCAAGUCGAGCGAACGGACGAGAAGCUUGCUUCUCUGAUGUUAGCGGCGGACGGGUGAGUAACACGUGGAUAACCUACCUAUAAGACUGGGAUAACUUCGGGAAACCGGAGCUAAUACCGGAUAAUAUUUUGAACCGCAUGGUUCAAAAGUGAAAGACGGUCUUGCUGUCACUUAUAGAUGGAUCCGCGCUGCAUUAGCUAGUUGGUAAGGUAACGGCUUACCAAGGCAACGAUGCAUAGCCGACCUGAGAGGGUGAUCGGCCACACUGGAACUGGGACACGGGCCAGACUCCUACGGGAGGCAGCAGUAGGGAAUCUUCCGCAAUGGGCGGAAGCCUGACGGAGCAACGCCGCGUGAGUGAUGAAGGUCUUCGGAUCGUAAAACUCUGUUAUUAGGGAAGAACAUAUGUGUAAGUAACUGUGCACAUCUUGACGGUACCUAAUCAGAAAGCCACGGCUAACUACGUG